GGGAUGGUUGUCUAUGUAAGUUUGAGAAAAGCUGUACAUGGUUAUAGUGCCUGUGACUGCCUCAUCUGGAAAGUACAUGUUGGUUGUUUGGGAUGACUCUUGCCAUGGACAAGGUUGUUCCCUGGUGUGAGAAGUCCAACAGCAGAGGUGCUUUAGCCAUAGCAGGUGAGUUUUGUGGGGGGGAGAUGGAUUUGUUUGCAGGACUCUUCAAAGACAGGGUCCAACCUAAAUGAGUACAAGCUCAUACAGCAAAGAAGAUUAUAUACUUAGAAAGUGAGUAGUUGAAACCAAUCUCUCCAUUCAGUGUGUAUAAGUGUGUUAUUUCACCUAGGCAUCUGUUUUACAGGUUGGGUCCUGGUUUUUGUCGUGAAUCUUCUGUGGAAGCUCUUCAGGGAGUUGGGGAUGUUGAUCAUCAAGACCCAGUGGCAUUUCAGUCUUUGAUGUAGGGAGGGCCAAAUGGAUGGAUUGGUUUUGAUGUUUACAAUAUUAGGUAUCUUUUCUUUUGCAGGUCAGGCCCUUUUGAGGCCAAAUCCUUUUCUAGAAGCAAACUGACCCUUUGUAGGUGACUGUGGGUCCUGAUGCUUUAGUCAUAGUUAUGCAAAUGCAAACAAAUAACUCUCUUUACUUGCACAUCCGUGUGCUUCUUCUGCUUGAACAUCUUUUUGUUUUGCAGGUUGAACCAUUGUUUAGGAAUUGUACUGCCACUGAGGAGUAUCUUUGGUUUUUGCAGCUGGUUAAGCUACUAAAUAUUCUACUAUUAAUGUAAUUUUUAAGCUUUUCACGGAACGAUUUUCCUGCCUAUGCUUUCAGGUAAGUGAUAUUGUUUUCAGGUUGGGACAUUGUGAGUCAGGAAACAUUGUACUGCUAAAGCUUGUGAUUGGUGAGUGAAAUCAUAAAUGUGCAUUGAUAAUACUGUUUAUUUAAACUGGGCAUGUAUUUGAUUUAACAGGUUUACCUGUUCUGGGAAAAGUCUCACCACUAAGAUACUUCAGCCUGGCAGUUUAUAUGGCAUCCUAUUUCUUGUGGUAGGUAUGGAUGACCAAAUUCCAUUUGGCAUCAUUAUUACUCAUUAUAGGCUCUUUGUUUUACAGAUUUGGAUCCUGUGUAGAAAUGGCUUUAAGCAGAGUCAGCUUACCUUAGACUGCUGAAGCUUGUGAUUGGUGAGUAGAAGGAUAGAUGUGCACUGAUAAAAAGAUUUCCAAGCUGAAAAAUCGGUAUUUUACAGGUUCUCUUGUUUUGGGAACCAUUCGACUUUUAUGUAAGCCUGGCAGUUUAUUUUGGUUCCUGUUUAUGGUAGGUAUGGGUAUAAAAUGACAUUUGGCAUUGAUAUUUUUCAACAUGAGCAUUUUUGCUUCUAGCUUUUGCCACACAGGAUCUCAACAUGUAAAGCAGAGUCUGGUUACCUUGGACUGCUGAAGCUUGUAAUGGAUAAGUGAGUAGAAGAAUGGAUGUGCACAGAUAAUACUGUUUAUUCAGCCUGGUAUUUCUUUCUUUUUUACAGGUUUCCUGGUUUGGGGAACAACUAGGUGCUGGCAGUUUAUUAUGGAACCUGUUUCUUGUGGUAGGUAUGGAUAAACAAAUUCUGUUUAGCAUUGUCCAGUAUGGGCAUCUUUGUUUUAUAGGUUGGGAUCCUGUGUGGCAAUGGCUAAAACAGAGUCAGCUUCCCUUAGACUGCUGAAGCUUGUGAUUGGUUUGGACAUUGUGUGGGCAAGGGAAGAAGCCACAUCAGGAAACUUUAUUCUUUUACUCACCAAUAUUCAUCAGUACAGGCAUGUAUGAGUUAUACUGAUUCUUCAACCUGGACAUCUUUUUAUUUUACAGGUUCUCCUCUUUGGCAAUAUCCAACUUCUAUGGUACUUCAGCCUGGCAGUUUAUUUGUGUUCCUGUGUCUUGUGGUAGAAUUUGUUCAUCCAUACCUGUUUGGUAUUGUUCUUUAGUAUGGGCAGCUUUGUUUUACAGGUUAGGACAUUGUGUGGGAAAAGCUAGUCAGGAAGCUGCUAACUCUUGUUACUGAUAGGGACAUUGUUGGAAAUACUGAAACCGCAGGCAGGGCACCUCGGACUGUUAAAGUUUGUGAUGGAUAGGUGCGUAGAGAGAUGUGUUCAUGGAUAAGUAUUUAUUUAUUUUUUAUAUUUACAGGUUCUUCUGCUUUGAGAAAAGUCUGGGAAAGUUGUAGUACUACAGUGACUAGAACAGACUAGUUUCCUCCGGAACCUGUUUCUUGUGGCAUGUAUAGUAUAAUCUAUAUGUAGAUUAACAAAUUCAGUUUGGCAUUGUUCUUCAGCAUAGGCA